CUGUGCUGUGAUCAUUUGCAUGCUGUGACAAGAGGCUUCUCCACUGAACUUCGGCUACAAAGGAAGUUUCAGGCUUGAUCCGUGCUAUCUCAGAUCUGUUUAAACUUUGACAGAGAAUGUCUGAGCCUUAAAGGUCUCCACGUACUCUGGAUGCACCCUGGAAUUCUCAUGGAACAAUGUAAACAAACUGUGCACAUGGCCUGCCUAUUGGACUAUAACCUUUAAAAUUGAUUCCAGAAGGAUUUUUUCAAAUUAGCAACCUCGCUAUUUCUGCUACAAAACUGACCUAAGAACUUUACUCACAUCUCUCAUGUGCAUUUGAGGUUUGAUCCAAAGCUCAUUGAAAUCAGUGAGUUUCUUUCUGCUGACAUGAGAUCUGUGAAAAAUUGGUCCCACAAGGUCUUGUCUUGUACGACGCUACAAACAGAAAAACCAGCAGCCAAAGAAGGGAAGUGUGUGAGAUCAUCUUGACAGUUUAAGACUGAAAAGUUGAUAGAGACUCUCCCUCCCACUGGCACUGACAGAGAUUCCGGGGACUGAGUCAUCACAGUUUGCCCAGAGGAGUCUGGAUGAAGAGAGAGGAGAACCGACAGCCAGAGAAGUGCUGCGUGAGAGAUCAUCUUGCCUGACAGUAGCUGGAAAGGGACGCUGGUGACUGAGUCAUCAAGGUAUCACCACUGGAGUCUAAAAAGAAAAAGAAAAUCCGUGUCUGUCACAAUAUUUUUAAAAGCCCUGAAGCAGCAAUUCUUGCACAGCCUCAUCCUGGAGCACCAUCUGCAGCUGCAGACGCAUGAUCCGAUGCAGCUCCCUUUGCAGGACCUCCACCAGGAAGAUCCAAUCUAGCUG